GAUGAACGCUGGCGGCGUGCUUAACACAUGCAAGUCGAACGAUGAAGCCCAGCUUGCUGGGUGGAUUAGUGGCGAACGGGUGAGUAACACGUGAGUAACCUGCCCUUCACUCUGGGAUAAGCCUGGGAAACUGGGUCUAAUACCGGAUAGGAGCGUCCACCGCAUGGUGGGUGUUGGAAAGAUUUAUCGGUUUUGGAUGGACUCGCGGCCUAUCAGCUUGUUGGUGAGGUAAUGGCUCACCAAGGCGACGACGGGUAGCCGGCCUGAGAGGGUGACCGGCCACACUGGGACUGAGACACGGCCCAGACUCCUACGGGAGGCAGCAGUGGGGAAUAUUGCACAAUGGGCGCAAGCCUGAUGCAGCGACGCCGCGUGAGGGAUGACGGCCUUCGGGUUGUAAACCUCUUUCAGUAGGGAAGAAGCGAAAGUGACGGUACCUGCAGAAGAAGCACCGGCUAACUACGUG
rnacentral:rRNA from 1 species